CCUACGGGAGGCAGCAGUGGGGAAUAUUGCGCAAUGGGCGAAAGCCUGACGCAGCGACGCCGCGUGAGGGAUGAAGGUCUUCGGAUCGUAAACCUCUGUCAGCAGGGAAGAACGGUCACUGUGCUAAUCAGCAGUGAAUUGACGGUACCUGCAAAGGAAGCACCGGCUAACUCCGUGCAAGCAGCCGCGGUAAUACGGAGGGUGCGAGCGUUAAUCGGAAUUACGGGGCGUAAAGCGCUCGUAGGCGGUAUGUCAAGUCAGGGGUGAAAUCCCCGGGCUCAACGUGGGAACUGCCUUUGAAACUGGCAAACUGGAGUGUGGAAGAGGUUGGUGGAAUUCCAGGUGUAGGGGUGAAAUGCGUAGAUAUCAGAAGGAACAUCGGUGGCGAAGGCGACUAACUGGCACAUAACUGACGCUGAGGAACGAAAGCGUGGGUAGCAAACAGGAUUAGAUACCCCAGUAGUC
rnacentral:rRNA from 1 species